GACAGCUCUGACCACCUGCCACGAUUACACCUCCGUUAGCCGUUCUCCUCUAUCACUUCGGAAGGGUUCGGUGAAGAUUGUAGGCUGAUCUCACCUGCCCUCAGUACUUGGCACUCCUCUGCCGUCGGCCCCAACUCGUUCCUGGUUCAACCCCUGCCGGCCGAGGCGAAAUUCCUACGGCUGCCACGACGCCGGCCUCCAAGGACUUCCGCAAGAUUCAUGAUGAUAUUGCCAGAUAUCUCUGUUAUUGUUGGGUUGUGGGUUUGUGUUUUUGUUGAUUAUAAUUGUGGAGUUCCAUUCUCCCUAGUUUUCUUUACGUCCCAAUCUUAGGAGUGUUGACGGGAAGAGUAGCCACCCCGGCCCUAACAGGAGCUGUUUGAAAUUUUACAGCUUCCCGAACAGGCGCAAAUGAGUAUCAAGGCACCGCCGCUGGUAGUGAAUGUACAAGUGCAGGGCAACGAGUUGUGGAUAGAAGUGAACACGGGUGCGAGCAACACUGUCACCAGUGAGGAGGUGUGCAGCAAGCUUCACAACAGGCCAAGAUUGGAAGCCUCAAACAAGCGUCUAAUCACCUACACAUGUGAAAGGCUACAGAUCGCAUACAAUUGUGCCGUUGAUGGUGGAGGUGUGUUCUUCAUAUUCGAGCGGUAGCAUGCCAAGGAUUUCUUCAGUGUUUUCUAUAUUUGCAGCCGAACACAAAUUUGGGGUGAUAGGUGCUUUGCGAAGAUUUUCAAUGUUCCUACACUUCAACAAAAUGAAGAUGGUUCUGUAACCCAUACAACACCAACGCCUGUCACACCUGUCCCAAGUACAUCGCAUGAUAAUGUAGGACCUGCAACGCCUGAGUCUUUACGCAUUCAGACUCAGACUACCCGAGGGAGAAAAAGGUCUUGACUCACUGACGGGAGGCAUGAGGUGCUUGACGGGAGGCAUGAGGUGCUUCAAGAAGCGCUUCAUCAACUGAAAGAACUAUCUCGAUCGGAGAAGGAGGAUAGCGAUGAAGAAAGUGCUUUUGGUGAUGUUGUUACCAAUAAAAUAGGAUCCAUGUACAGAAACUAAUUUGAGGUACUUUAUCUGGGAAAAAUAGGGAAGCUCACCUUUUCAUCCAAGGUUGUUGCCUAAUUAUGUAUGACCAUAAUUAUGUCUGUAUUGAAAGUGGCAUUAAUAUGUUUACAAUAAAGCUGUGAAAGUAACAGUCAUAGUAUGUCUUUGUCCCAGGAUUAGAAACAAUAUUCAUGAACUUUACAUAUGUGUAAAGAUGUAGUAGUUUUACCCGGUUGCGCUUCAAGGUGGGUAAUAUACGAGUAGCCAAACA